GACGAACGCUGGCGGCGUGCUUAACACAUGCAAGUCGAACGGAAAGGCCCCUUUGGGGGUACUCGAGUGGCGCACGGGUGAGUAACACGUGAGUAACCUGCCCUGGACUUCGGGAUAACCUCAGGAAACUGGGGCCAAUACCGGCAAAGAAUCCUUGCUGCAUGGUGGGGGUUGGAAAGCUUCGGCGGUAUUGGAUGGACUCGCGGCGUAUGAGCUUGUUGGUGGGGUAGUGGCUUACCAAGGCGUUGACGGGUAGCCGGCCUGAGAGGGCGACCGGCCACAAUGGGACUAAGAUACGGCCCAGUCGCCUACGUGAGGCAGCAGUGGGGAAUAUUGCACAAUGGGCGGGAGCCUGAUGCAGCAACGCCGCGUGCGGAAUGACGGCCUUCGGGUUGUAAACCGCUUUCAGCAGGGGCGAAGCUUGUGUUGCCGGUACCUGCAGAAGAAGCACCGGCUAACUACGUG
rnacentral:rRNA from 1 species